GGGGGUGUAUUUGGUUUCGACAAUUGUUUAGAAGUAUAAAUAGCGAGUAGUGGAUUCUCGUUGGCCACUUAAAUAAACGGGAAAAUAAAUAUAAACGCUGAUAAAACAGAAUUAGCAUACGCUGCCUAAUUGCGGCGUCGUCUUAUAAUAAUUGCCCACGGUUAUUAAUAAGGCGUCAAAUUAGUGGGAAACGAAGCUAUUUUUUGCUAUGAAAAUAGUGGGUAUUUUAUAGCUACUUUAAUAUAAUGUUUGUUUGUUAAUGCUAUAUUAGAGGAAUUUUAAUAACAAACUGCACUCGGAGAAGUUUAUAUGGAAGAGCUAUUGGACAGGAGUUCGACUCUCCUCACCUCCACCA
rnacentral:tmRNA from 3 species